rnacentral:rRNA from 1 species
UUGGAGGGCAAGUCUGGUGCCAGCAGCCGCGGUAAUUCCAGCUCCAAUAGCGUAUAUUAAAGUUGUUGCAGUUAAAAAGCUCGUAGUUGAAUUUCGGGAUCAGAUUGUCGGUCGUGCCUCGGUACGCACUGGCGUUAUUGGUUCCUACCUUCUGAAGAACCGCGAUGUCAUUAAUUUGGUGUCGUGGGGAAUCAGGACUGUUACUUUGAAAAAAUUAGAGUGUUUAAAGCAGGCUUACGCUUGAAUACAUUAGCAUGGAAUAAUGAAGUAGGACGUUUGAUUCUAUUUUGUUGGUUUCUAGGAUUGACGUAAUGAUUAAUAGGGAUAGUUGGGGGCAUUAGUAUUCAAUUGUCAGAGGUGAAAUUCUUGGAUUUAUUGAAGACUAACUACUGCGAAAGCAUUUGCCAAGGAUGUUUUCAUUAAUCAAGAACGAAAGUUAGGGGAUCGAAGACGAUCAGAUACCGUCGUAGUCUUAACCAUAAACUAUGCCGACUAGGGAUCGGAUGAUGUUAAUUUUUUAAUGACUCAUUCGGCGCCUUACGGGAAACCAAAGUGUUUGGGUUC